rnacentral:rRNA from 1 species
UAAGGAAUAUUGGUCAAUGGACGCAAGUCUGAACCAGCCAUGCCGCGUGAAGGAUGAAGGCCCUCUGGGUUGUAAACUUCUUUUAUGUGGGAAGAAAUGUACCGAUUCUUCGGUAUUUGACGGUACCAUAGGAAUAAGCACCGGCUAACUCCGUGCCAGCAGCCGCGGUAAUACGGAGGGUGCAAGCGUUAUCCGGAUUCACUGGGUUUAAAGGGUGCGUAGGUGGGAAUGAAAGUCAGUGGUGAAAUCUCCGGGCUUAACCCGGAAACUGCCAUUGAUACUUUGUUUCUUGAAUCUUCUGGAGGUCAGCGGAAUAUGUCAUGUAGCGGUGAAAUGCUUAGAUAUGACAUAGAACACCGAUUGCGAAGGCAGCUGACUACGGGAGUAUUGACACUGAGGCACGAAAGCGUGGGGAUCAAACAG